rnacentral:rRNA from 1 species
CAGUCGCCGCGGGAAAACGAAGGGGGCUAGCGUUGCUCGGAAUGACUGGGCGUAAAGGGCGCGUAGGCGGCGAUCAAAGUCUUGUGUGAAAUCUUCGGGCUCAACCCAUAGCCUGCACGAGAAACUACCGGGCUUGAGUAUUGGAGAGGUGAGUGGAAUUUCCGGUGUAGCGGUGAAAUGCGUAGAUAUCGGAAGGAACACCUGUGGCGAAAGCGGCUCACUGGACAAUAACUGACGCUGAUGCACGAAAGCUAGGGGAGCAAACAGGAUUAGAUACCCCUGUAGUCCCUGUCUCUUAUAA